CCGCGGUUCUAGGAACUUGACAUGAUGGGGCUUCCUGAGGAGCGGGGCCGGAGCGGCAGCGGGAGCCGGGGCCAGGAGGAAGCUGGAGCCGGAGGCCGGGCGCGGAGUUGGUCUCCGCCGCCCGAGGUCAGCCGCUCCGCGCACGUCCCCUCGCUGCAGCGCUACCGCGAGCUGCACCGGCGCUCCGUGGAGGAGCCGCGGGAAUUCUGGGGAGACAUUGCCAAGGAAUUUUACUGGAAGACUCCAUGCCCUGGCCCAUUCCUUCGGUACAACUUUGAUGUGACUAAAGGGAAAAUCUUCAUUGAGUGGAUGAAAGGAGCAACUACCAACAUCUGCUACAAUGUACUGGAUCGAAAUGUCCAUGAGAAAAAGCUUGGAGAUAAAUUUGCUUUUUACUGGUGUUCAAGCAGCCCUGGCCAGGGAUCAUGCGCACAGUCUAUGGGAACCACGAACGCUUUGAGACAACCUACUUUAAGAAGUUUCCUGGAUACUAUGUUACAGGAGAUGGCUGCCAGCGGGACCAGGAUGGCUAUUACUGGAUCACUGGCAGGAUUGAUGACAUGCUCAAUGUAUCUGUUAGAGAAAAGAUUGGCCCCAUUGCCACACCAGACUACAUCCAGAAUGCACCUGGCUUGCCUAAAACCCGCUCAGGGAAAAUCAUGAGGCGAGUGCUUCGGAAGAUUGCUCAGAAUGACCAUGACCUCGGGGACAUGUCUACUGUGGCUGACCCAUCUGUCAUCAGUCACCUCUUCAGCCACCGCUGCCUGACCAUCCAGUGAACAUGAUCCUGACCUUUACCUAGGAUUCCUCCUGCUCCAAACUUUGCCCAUCCUCUUUGCCCCCUCAGGAGUGCUGAGGGCCAGUGUUGACCCACACUACCCUCCCUUGACCAGCUGUCUGGGACCGGAAACCAGCUUUGUCUCCAGGUAGAGACAACAUCCUGUGACUGCCAGGCAGAAGGGACAGGGCCCAGGUCAGCCUCAGUCUGCUGUGCCUCCAGACUGCAGAGCUCUCAGAACCCAGAACAGGGACGAAAAGGCUACCUCUCCUACCCAAGUUAAGUGUUCAGAGGGGAUGUGAGGGCCUCCACUGAAGCAGGGAGGCAGCUGUGUAAUCCUAUGUCAGCUCUCUUAGGAAGCCCCAGUACUUAUAUUGGGCAUGCACUUGCCCUUAAAAACAAUGAUUUGUGAGUCCAGGAACAAUUUACUAUUUUUAAAAUAUUUUGCUGCUUCUGUUCUGGGUCUGAAUUCCCUUUUGUGCCAGAUGCCAGUACUGUCUGCCCAUUGGCUCCAGGGGCUGUAUGGGCAGAUUCAGUCUCCAGAGGGUAUUCAGAUCAUCUGCUUCUUUGAAGGAGUAAAUGUGUUUUGUUCCUAGGGCCAGAGGAGCUUGUCUUCCUUGUCCUCUGUUCUCACCCUCCCCUGAACAGAACCCAGCCCAUAAGAGACAUUCUCAGAUGAAACUCUGUUUUCUUGCCCCAGUCAGGCUCAAGCCCUGUGGUUGUAGGAAUAAAGCCUGUGAUCUCAAGAA
rnacentral:sRNA from 1 species